AUUACCUUUUGGGCCCUAACAAGUUGACAGGGUUUCAUUUUGCUUCCUCUUUUAAUGACAUCUUCUUUGCAGGUGAACUGGAGAUGUAACGACUUCCUUUUUUGUCUUGGAAGAUUCCUAAAUGUCAUUGAGAGACCCAAGACGUCUCAAUCUCACUUAAUGCAAACGGAAAACCAAGGGUUUUUAAAGGUGAAAUGGAUCUUGCUAAUGAAGAAGUAUCACUCUUCGUGGGGCAUGCAGCUUGUUAGUUCAAGUUAGAAUUCUGGGCAGUAGGCGUGUGCCAAGCUGCAAGACUUUUUCUCCUCCUAAAUGAAUCGUGCAGUAAAUUGGGCAUUUGGAUCUUUCCCUUGUGAAGCUAUCUCACAAGUUUGACUGUUGACAUCUUGGGAAACAGUAUCCUACUGGAUAUGGUUGGAGACACCCUGCUUUGGAGAGAUGAUGAUGAGUAUGAAUAUAGUAAAUAAGUCAUAGAUAGACAGUCCGAUGGAAUAUAGUAAAUAAGUCAUAGAUAGACAGUCCGAUGUCACGCGCUGACACUUUUAAUAAUAGUGCCCUCCUCUAGGGCUACUGUGAAGCCUAAA
rnacentral:lncRNA from 1 species